rnacentral:rRNA from 1 species
AUGGCGACCACCACCAUGUCCCUCUCCUCGACCUUCGCCGGCAAGUCGGUGAAGAACGUGGCUUCAUCAGCUCUCUUUGGUGAGGCCCGUGUCACUAUGCGCAAGACCGCUGCAAAGGCCAAGCAGGUUUCAUCAGGCAGCCCAUGGUACGGUGCCGACCGUGUGCUCUACCUCGGCCCGCUUUCCGGCGACCCUCCGAGCUACUUGACCGGCGAGUUCCCCGGCGACUACGGGUGGGACACCGCGGGGCUCUCGGCCGACCCCGAGACCUUUGCCAAGAACCGGGAGCUCGAGGUGAUCCACUGCCGGUGGGCCAUGCUCGGUGCGCUCGGAUGCGUCUUCCCCGAGCUUCUUGCACGCAAUGGUGUUAAGUUCGGUGAGGCCGUGUGGUUCAAGGCCGGCUCCCAAAUCUUCAGCGAGGGUGGCCUCGACUACCUGGGCAACCCCAGCCUCGUGCAUGCACAGAGCAUCCUUGCUAUUUGGGCAUGCCAAGUCGUGCUCAUGGGUGCCGUUGAGGGGUACCGCGUUGCCGGGGGCCCACUUGAGCUCAAGGUGAAGGAAGUCAAGAACGGCCGCCUCGCCAUGUUCUCUAUGUUUGGCUUCUUCGUGCAGGCCAUUGUCACCGGUAAGGGCCCACUCGAGAACCUUGCUGACCACCUCUCCGACCCCGUCAACAACAACGCAUGGGCGUUUGCCACAAACUUUGUUCCCGGCAAGUGA